GGCCUGGCCCACAUGUUUCAUGAGUGAAAGGCAGAAGCUGAAACAUACAAAUCAGAAUCACAGAAUUCCAUCCAAUGGAGCACAUGAGGAGGAGAGAGAAGAGACCAGGAAUGUAAGGAAGUGAAGCGCGUGACUGGAAGCCAAGAUGAGAUGCUAAACAAGAUCAGAGAAACAAGAUGAAGCUGGAGUUCGCAUGAAUUCCAGGAACUGAGGCAGGCAUCUUCCAGGCAGCCCUCCUGGGAUUUCACCUCUCCUUUAUUGAGUGCCCCUGUUGUUCACCUAAAAGUGGAGGAAGCAGAAGUGUGAGUUUUGAAUCUGGAAUCAGAAUGGAAGGGGAUUCUCUGAAGUCACUGUCUGUGAGACUUUGCAAAAUUUACCUAACUUCCUGAUGGUUUUCUUCAAGGGAACUUCAUCUGUAUGUUUUACAGCCAAAUUCAUGAGUCUACCCAUAUCAGAUUGUGUAUCAUAUCCGCAAAGUGCAAUCCCUGUGAAAUCUGUCGAUAAUAUCUUAAUGGUUAGCUGUUUUUCAAUAAAAAUUUUGUUGAAUUAUAC
ensembl:lncRNA